CUUUAUAAGUCUUUGAUCACUCAAAAUAAAGGCGUUUUCCUUGCAUUUACGCACAAAAUAUGUAGGAAUGUUUGUGCUGUAUUGUGCAUGGCCUCAAAAAUGCCCCUGAACCACGACAAGAAAAAGGGCACCACAAAAAGAUGAUAACAGCGUAUGUGUUGCAGCAUGUGUCGCAGCUGCCAAGGCGACAUCGCUUCAGUGGUGGAUGGCGCACGACAUAAAGGGCGCUGUUCGUGGUGCGAGAUGGUGGCGAGAGAUGGCGCUCGUGAUGGCGUUCCUGGUGCCGCGGGGCGUUUGAAGGUUUUACGUACAGUAAAGCAGCAAUAUCAAAAUGGCGGUUUCGAAGCGGUUAAAAUGAGUUGUAGUCAUACAAUGGCUGUUACAAUAAGAGUG